CCCACCCUGAGCAGAGAAAGAUGAGCUCUAAGAUCUUGCUGUGUCUCUCACUGGCUCUCUCCAUCCAGGGUGAACCCUUGCAACCUGUGCCUAUCCAGCCACCUCAGGCCUUAUAUGCCGAGGGCUCUACUGCUGUCCUGCAGUGCCCUCUGCAAAGUGGCAAGAUCCAGGGCUACCAUGUCUUCUGGUUCCAGCAAAAGCCAAGCAAAAGCCCAGCCUUCAUCUUGAAGCAUAGCAUCGAUGGGCAGAUACACCGAUCCUCUUCAUUUGAUGCACGUUUUGUGCCCAUCCGGGAUGCCAACACCAAUGCCUACAUCUUGCAGAUCCAGAAGGUGCAAACAGAUGAAAGUGCCACCUAUAUCUGUCUAGCAGAGGGAUAUUAUUUCCAGACAGCGGUCUCAGGGAGUGGAACACGGCUCAUCAUCACAGGAGGACAAUCAGCAAAAGUGCCAUCAUCGGUCAUCCUGUUGUCUGACGUUUCCCAGAAACCAGGAUCUUCCGAUGUCCAUGCCUUAUGCGUAGUUGAAGACUUCUACCCAGGCUUACUAGAGAUCAAGUGGAGUGCAGCUGGGAAGGAUAUAACUGAGGGAGUGACCUCUGGACAAGUGACCUUGAAUGCGGAUGGCACUUACACUACCUCCAGCAUCCUGAACGUAUCGCGCAAUUUCUUUAACUCUGUCACCCCUAUUCGGUGCUCUGUGAAUCAUGAAUCUUCUGGGGCCAAGAUUGAACGCAGCCUGGAAGGGUGCUUGAACAAGUGAAUGGCUUCACCUCAACGCCUCCCUUCUUCCCUUGCUGCAACUUCUGUUUCCCCUUUAGCUCUCUGCAAAGUGUGCCCUGAUGCAUACUUUGGCUUCACCCCUCAG